GACAAACGCUGGCGGCAUGCCUAACACAUGCAAGUCGAACGGCAGCACGGGGGCAACCCUGGUGGCGAGUGGCGAACGGGUGAGUAAUGCAUCGGAACGUACCCAGUCGUGGGGGAUAACGCAGCGAAAGUUGUGCUAAUACCGCAUACGACCUGAGGGAGAAAGCGGGGGAUCGCAAGACCUCGCGCGAUUGGAGCGGCCGAUGCCGGAUUAGCUAGUUGGUAGGGUAAAGGCCUACCAAGGCGACGAUCCGUAGCUGGUCUGAGAGGACGACCAGCCACACUGGAACUGAGACACGGUCCAGACUCCUACGGGAGGCAGCAGUGGGGAAUUUUGGACAAUGGGGGCAAGCCUGAUCCAGCCAUGCCGCGUGAGUGAAGAAGGCCUCGGUU
rnacentral:rRNA from 1 species